GAUGAACGCUGGCGGCGUGCUUAACACAUGCAAGUCGAACGGAAAGGCUCCUGCUUGCAGGGGUACUCGAGUGGCGAACGGGUGAGUAACACGUGGGUGAUCUGCCCUGCACUUCGGGAUAAGCUUGGGAGACUGGGUCUAAUACCGGGUGGGACCGCAUUUUGGAUGGUGUGGUGGAAAGUUUUUUCGGUGUGGGAUGAGCUCGCGGCCUAUCAGCUUGUUGGUGGGGUAAUGGCCUACCAAGGCGUCGACGGGUAGCCGGCCUGAGAGGGUGUACGGCCACAUUGGGACUGAGAUACGGCCCAGACUCCUACGGGAGGCAGCAGUGGGGAAUAUUGCACAAUGGGCGCAAGCCUGAUGCAGCGACGCCGCGUGGGGGAUGACGGCCUUCGGGUUGUAAACUCCUUUCGCUAGGGACGAAGAGUAAUUGACGGUACCUGGAGAAGAAGCACCGGCUAACUACGUG
rnacentral:rRNA from 1 species